GAUGAAGAACGUAGCGAAAUGCGAUAAGUAAUGUGAAUUGCAGAAUUCAGUGAAUCAUCGAAUCUUUGAACGCACCUUGCGCCCUUUGGACAUUCCGAAGGGCAUGCCUGUUUGAGUAUCAUGAACACCUCAACUCUCACGGCUUGUCCGUGAUGAGCUUGGACUUUGGGGGUCUUGCCGGCCUGUGGUCGGCUCCUCUCAAAUGGAUCAGCUUGCCAGUGUUUGGUGGCAUCACAGGUGUGAUAACUAUCUGCGCUUGUGGUUUUCCAUCAGAUAACCUUCAGUGAUAUGGAGGUUCGAUGGAGCUCACAAAUGUCUCUCCUUAGUGAGGACAGCUCUUUGAACGUUUGAUCUCAAAUCAGGUAGGACUACCCGCUGAACUUAAGCAUAUCAAUAAGCGGAGGA
rnacentral:misc_RNA from 1 species